AGUCCACAUAUUUAUACUCACAACAAUGCAUCACGAUGAAUUUUUAAUUAAGUCUUUUUCCCCUGGAGAAAACACACACCUCCUCACACCCUUACACACACACACACACACACACACACACACACACACACACACUCUUACACACACACACACACACACACACACACACACACACACACACACACACACACAUCAAAUAUCAAACUGCAUUAAGAUUUGUUGUUAAAGCAAAACAAUUAGAUUUUGAUUCAUAAACUUGUGGAAUUAUUUGAUUUUCCUUUAUUUUCUCUUAUACUUAAAAUCUGUUUUAUUCUCUUUACGCUGAUUCUCAUUAUUUGUGAGUGUAUUCUGUAAGAGGGUGUUCUGACCUGACCUGUCACACCAUAAGAUAAGAGGAUAGACUGUACUGUAUGUAAGGAGAUAAUUAAGUGUUACAUGUUGCCAUGUCAAGACCUUUUUAGUAUAUAAUGAGUUAAACCUCUCUGAAUAUGUUAUCGCAUAAAUGAGCUAAAAUCUAAUAUUUUGGGAAAACUUUCACACAUUUAAUUAGAUAGGACAGGUGAUGCUGUGAUAGCUUUAGCACUGCAAUUACCACAAACAGUUUUACACUCAAGUCUCCAUCAGUGAACAGUGGAGAAGUUCAACAAAACAGACUUCAUGUGGAAACUGUAAUGAAUUUCCUGCUUAUACAACUGCACUAGCUGAGCAUGUAGAAUUAGCACAUUUAUAGAAGGGGUGUAUUUAUUUAUAAUCACACUUUAUAUACGUUUACUUUGAAUCCUUGCUCUGACGCUCUGCCUUUAGGGGAGAAAUGAUACAGAUACAGUAGAAUUUCACAGUGGGUUCCACUUCUGUCAGCCAAGAACAGACUAUCAUGGGCACAGACUCAUCGAACCUGGACAGCUGAAGAUGUGUUGGUGAGUCUGUGCCCAUGAUCGCCUCAGAUUCUUGUUCUUGGAUGACAGCAGUGGAAGCUGAUGUGGUCUUCUGCUGUUGUAGUUAUCUGAGUUACUAUAGACUUCCUGUCAGCUCAGACCAGUCUGCUCAUUCUCCUCUGAUCUCUCUCAUCAACAUGGUGUUUCAGCCUGCAGAACCUCCACUCACAGGAUGUUUUUUGUUUUUCACACCAUUCUGUGUAAACUCUAGAGACUGUUGUGUGUAAAAAUCCAAGGAAAUCAACAGUUUCUGAAAUACUCAAACCAGUCCAUCUGGUACCAACUACCAUGGCACAGUUAAAGUCUCACUGUUUCCUCAUUCUGAUGUUUAAUGUGAACGUUAACUGAAGCUCUUGACUUGUAUCUGCAUGUUUGUUAUUUAUUAUGCUGCUGCCACAUAUUUGGCUGGUUAGACAACUGCAUGAAUGUGCAAGUGUUCCUAAUAAAGUGGGCGGUGGGUGUAGAUGAAAAUAUUUGACAUUGUAGUAACUUGUAGUGUGUUUUAAUCUCAAACCUUAUUAUUGUUAGUCUUUUGAAUCACUGUAUAAUUGAUGUUUUUACUUUUAGGGAGGAACUCCUCACCAGAGCCACAUCACAGCACAUGAAUGAAUGGUUUAAAGGCUUUCACAUGUAUAACACUGAUUCAAAUGUUCCACCUUUGUAAGCUUUUGUAUCUAACCAGAUGGGAUUUGUAAAUGCAUGGAUGAAACAUACAUGGUGCAGAAUAACUCCAUGGCAUGUUAAAGGAAUAUUCAGAACCUUUGUUGGAGUUUAUAGAUUUUCGGGGAGCCCUGAUUGAAGACAUCAAUGACUUACAGAUGUCUAUUCUAGUCCUACCUACUAUACACCACCGUCUCUCUGUCAUGUCUGGAUGGCUGACUAGCACCAAGUUCUCUCCCGAAUUAAAUGUAUGGAAACAUAAGAAAGGAACAAAACCAACUGAAUAUUACAAGAGCAAAGAACUUGCCUUACUUCAGAAAUAAAUGUUAAUUGUAAAGGAAAACUAUUUACACACUAUAUUUCUCUGUGCUCUAUUUUCACGGGUAACAUUUCUUUAUGAAGGGCCUACUGUGUGAGGUAUAGGUCAAAUUUACAUAUAAAUUAUUAAUUAAAAUGUGAAUGUGUGUACAGUUGCUUUAUGUUUAUCAUUUGGUUUCAUUAUAUAUACUGACCUCAAAUAAAGUACUCCUGGAGUAAAGGGUAAAUAUAAAAGAAGUAAAUAUAACGUUAAUUUUGAUAAUUACAAUUCCAGUAUAAAUUAAAUUCAGUUAAAAACAUUUAUUGAAUGUAGCACAUUGGUUUUGUUAAAUAAUAUAUCUACUCAGUUUUAUGUGUCAUGGCACUAAAUGUAGUUAUUCAGAUCUACUUAAUUUUUUACUUACAUUUACUCAAUUCAUAAGACAUAUUUCAAUGAUUUCACAGCUUUAACAUGUACUUAUUAUUGUUAAGUGUAAAAAUGUUUCACCAAAACAAAUGGAGUUCAUCUUAGUUUAAGCUUGUAAAGUGUAAUAACUGUUACACUGUAAUGUCUACAAUGACUGUUAUUGCUAUGUAACAGUCAUUACAGUGUAACAAUUAUUACAGUGUAACAGUCAUUACAGUGUAACAGUUAUUUCAGAGUAACAGUCAUUACAGAGUAACAGUCAUUACAGUGUAACAGUCAUUAUAGUGUAACAAUCAUUACAGUGUAACAAUCAUUACAGUGUAACGUUAUUUCAGUGUAACACUCAUUACAGCGUACACAAUCAUUACAGUGUAACAGUCAUUACUGUUUCUCCUGGGAAGUAUUACACACCAUGACGCCCUGCUAGGCCUCCUGAAAGGCUUAUUGAAAUUUUGUUGAAUGGUUGAAGGGCUAGAAAAGUUUGUAAAAAUUGCAGUUAUAAUGCAAUUGUUGUGUUAUUGUUAUGAAAAUGUGUUAUUGUUUCCAAUAUUGAUUCCAAUAUUAUAUAAAUAAAUACAUAAAUAAGAUGCUA